rnacentral:piRNA from 1 species
AUACUGAUGUGGUGACUUCUCUGCUAAACUGU